AUUCUGUAGCAAGGUUAACCGAAUAGGGGAGCCGGAGGGAAACCGAGUCUUAAUUGGGCGUUAAGUUGCAGGGUAUAGACCCGAAACCCGGUGAUCUAGCCAUGGGCAGGUUGAAGGUUGGGUAACACUAACUGGAGGACCGAACCGACUAAUGUUGAAAAAUUAGCGGAUGACCUGUGGCUGGGGGUGAAAGGCCAAUCAAACCGGGAGAUAGCUGGUUCUCCCCGAAAGCUAUUUAGGUAGCGCCUCGUGAAUUCAUCUCCGGGGGUAGAGCACUGUUUCGGCUAGGGGGCCAUCCCGGCUUACCAACCCGAUGCAAACUGCGAAUACCGGAGAAUGUUAUCACGGGAGACACACGGCGGGUGCUAACGUCCGUCGUGAAGAGGGAAACAACCCAGACCGCCAGCUAAGGUCCCAAAGUCAUGGUUAAGUGGGAAACGAUGUGGGAAGGCCCAGACAGCCAGGAUGUUGGCUUAGAAGCAGCCAUCAUUUAAAGAAAGCGUAAUAGCUCACUGGUCGAGUCGGCCUGCGCGGAAGAUGUAACGGGGCUAAACCAUGCACCGAAGCUGCGGCAGCGACGCUGAUGCGUUGUUGGGUAGGGGAGCGUUCUGUAAGCCUGCGAAGGUGGCCUGUGAGGGUUGCUGGAGGUAUCAGAAGUGCGAAUGCUGACAUAAGUAACGAUAAAGCGGGUGAAAAGCCCGCUCGCCGGAAGACCAAGGGUUCCUGUCCAACGUUAAUCGGGGCAGGGUGAGUCGACCCCUAAGGCGAGGCCGAAAGGCGUAGUCGAUGGGAAACGGGUUAAUAUUCCCGUACUUGGUGUUACUGCGAAGGGGGGACGGAGAAGGCUAUGUUGGCCGGGCGACGGUUGUCCCGGUUUAAGCGUGUAGGUGUGUGUUCCAGGUAAAUCCGGUUCACUUUAACACUGAGGCGUGAUGACGAGGCACUACGGUGCUGAAGCAACAAAUGCCCUGCUUCCAGGAAAAGCCUCUAAGCAUCAGGUAACAUCAAAUCGUACCCCAAACCGACACAGGUGGUCAGGUAGAGAAUACCAAGGCGCUUGAGAGAACUCGGGUGAAGGAACUAGGCAAAAUGGUGCCGUAACUUCGGGAGAAGGCACGCUGACACGUAGGUGAAGUGAUUUACUCAUGGAGCUGAAGUCAGUCGAAGAUACCAGCUGGCUGCAACUGUUUAUUAAAAACACAGCACUGUGCAAACACGAAAGUGGACGUAUACGGUGUGACGCCUGCCCGGUGCCGGAAGGUUAAUUGAUGGGGUCAGCGCAAGCGAAGCUCCUGAUCGAAGCCCCGGUAAACGGCGGCCGUAACUAUAACGGUCCUAAGGUAGCGAAAUUCCUUGUCGGGUAAGUUCCGACCUGCACGAAUGGCGUAAUGAUGGCCAGGCUGUCUCCACCCGAGACUCAGUGAAAUUGAACUCGCUGUGAAGAUGCAGUGUACCCGCGGCAAGACGGAAAGACCCCGUGAACCUUUACUAUAGCUUGACACUGAACAUUGAGCCUUGAUGUGUAGGAUAGGUGGGAGGCUUUGAAGUGUGGACGCCAGUCUGCAUGGAGCCGACCUUGAAAUACCACCCUUUAAUGUUUGAUGUUCUAACGUGGACCCGUGAUCCGGGUUGCGGACAGUGUCUGGUGGGUAGUUUGACUGGGGCGGUCUCCUCCUAAAGAGUAACGGAGGAGCACGAAGGUUGGCUAAUCCUGGUCGGACAUCAGGAGGUUAGUGCAAUGGCAUAAGCCAGCUUGACUGCGAGCGUGACGGCGCGAGCAGGUGCGAAAGCAGGUCAUAGUGAUCCGGUGGUUCUGAAUGGAAGGGCCAUCGCUCAACGGAUAAAAGGUACUCCGGGGAUAACAGGCUGAUACCGCCCAAGAGUUCAUAUCGACGGCGGUGUUUGGCACCUCGAUGUCGGCUCAUCACAUCCUGGGGCUGAAGUAGGUCCCAAGGGUAUGGCUGUUCGCCAUUUAAAGUGGUACGCGAGCUGGGUUUAGAACGUCGUGAGACAGUUCGGUCCCUAUCUGCCGUGGGCGCUGGAGAACUGAGGGGGGCUGCUCCUAGUACGAGAGGACCGGAGUGGACGCAUCACUGGUGUUCGGGUUGUCAUGCCAAUGGCACUGCCCGGUAGCUAAAUGCGGAAGAGAUAAGUGCUGAAAGCAUCUAAGCACGAAACUUGCCCCGA
rnacentral:rRNA from 1 species